GAUGAACGCUGGCGGCGUGCUUAACACAUGCAAGUCGAACGAAGAUGCCGGAGUGCUUGCACUUUGGCAGACUGAGUGGCGGACGGGUGAGUAACGCGUGGGUAACCUGCCUUAUACAGGGGGAUAACAGUUGGAAACGACUGCUAAUACCGCAUAAGCGCACGGUAUCGCAUGAUACAGUGUGAAAAACUCCGGUGGUAAACGAUGGGGAAGCGUUCCAUUAGGUAGUAGGCGGGGUAACGGCCCACCUAGCCGACGAUGGAUAGGGGUUCUGAGAGGAAGGUCCCCCACAUUGGAACUGAGACACGGUCCAAACUCCUACGGGAGGCAGCAGUGAGGAAUAUUGGUCAAUGGGCGAGAGCCUGAACCAGCCAAGUAGCGUGAAGGAUGAAGGUCCUACGGAUUGUAAACUUCUUUUAUACGGGAAUAAAGUAUCCUACGUGUAGGAUUUUGUAUGUACCGUAUGAAUAAGCAUCGGCUAACUCCGUG
rnacentral:rRNA from 1 species